GGGCGGAAGCCUGAUGCAGCGACGCCGCGUGAGGGAUGACGGCCUUCGGGUUGUAAACCUCUUUCAGCAGGGAAGAAGCCACAAGUGACGGUACCUGCAGAAGAAGCGCCGGCUAACUACGUGCCAGCAGCCGCGGUAAUACGUAGGGCGCAAGCGUUGUCCGGAAUUAUUGGGCGUAAAGAGCUCGUAGGCGGUUUGUCGCGUCUGCUGUGAAAGCCCGGGGCUCAACCCCGGGUCUGCAGUGGGUACGGGCAGACUAGAGUGCAGUAGGGGAGACUGGAAUUCCUGGUGUAGCGGUGAAAUGCGCAGAUAUCAGGAGGAACACCGAUGGCGAAGGCAGGUCUCUGGGCUGUUACUGACGCUGAGGAGCGAAAGCAUGGGGAGCGAACAGGAUUAGAUACCCUGGUAGUCCAUGCCGUAAACGUUGGGCACUAGGUGUGGGGGACAUUCCACGUUCUCCGCGCCGUAGCUAACGCAUUAAGUGCCCCGCCUGGGGAGUACGGCCG
rnacentral:rRNA from 1 species